ensembl:miRNA
UGACCAGCUGAUCGCCCAGAGGUGCAACAUCCCAAACCUCUGGGUGACUUUUGAUCACA